AGCAGUAGCCACGGUAAUACGUAGGUGGCAAGCGUUGCCCGGAAUUAUUGGGCGUAAAGGGCUCGCAGGCGGUUUCUUAAGUCUGAUGUGAAAGCCCCCGGCUCAACCGGGGAGGGUCAUUGGAAACUGGGAAACUUGAGUGCAGAAGAGGAGAGUGGAAUUCCACGUGUAGCGGUGAAAUGCGUAGAGAUGUGAAGGAACACCAGUGGCGAAGGCGACUCUCUGGUCUGUAACUGACGCUGAGGAGCGAAAGCGUGGGGAGCGAACAGGAUUAGAUACCCGCGUAGUCCCUGUCUCUUAUAC
rnacentral:rRNA from 1 species